CCAGGCUCUCAUCUAAUCACAGAAGUUAAGCAAUGUCAAGCCUGGUUAGUACCUAGAUAGGUAACUGCUUGGGAAUAUCAGGUGGUGUAA